ACAUGCAAGUCGAACGGACGAUGAAGAGCUUGCUUUUCAAAGUUAGUGGCGGACGGGUGAGUAACGCGUGGGUAACCUGCCUCAUACAGGGGAAUAGCAGCUGGAAACGGCUGAUAAAACCGCAUAAGCGCACAGUGCCGCAUGGCACAGUGUGGAGAACUCCGGUGGUAUGAGAUGGACCCGCGUCUGAUUAGCUUGUUGGCGGGGUAACGGCCCACCAAGGCGACGAUCAGUAGCCGGCCUGAGAGGGUGAUCGGCCACAUUGGGACUGAGACACGGCCCAAACUCCUACGGGAGGCAGCAGUGGGGAAUAUUGCACAAUGGGGGGAACCCUGAUGCAGCGACGCCGCGUGAAGGAAGAAGUAUCUCGGUAUGUAAACUUCUAUCAGCAGGGAAGAUAAUGACGGUACCUGACUAAGAAGCCCCGGCUAACUACGUGCCAGCAGCCGCGGUAAUACGUAGGGGGCAAGCGUUAUCCGGAUUUACUGGGUGUAAAGGGAGCGUAGGCGGCGGAGCAAGUCAGAAGUGAAAGCCCGGGGCUCAACCCCGGGACGGCUUUUGAAACUGCCCUGCUUGAUUUCAGGAGAGGUAAGCGGAAUUCCUAGUGUAGCGGUGAAAUGCGUAGAUAUUAGGAGGAACACCAGUGGCGAAGGCAGCUU
rnacentral:rRNA from 1 species